GACGAACGCUGGCGGCGUGCUUAACACAUGCAAGUCGAACGGAAAGGCCCUGCUUUUGUGGGGUGCUCGAGUGGCGAACGGGUGAGUAACACGUGAGUAACCUGCCCUUGACUUUGGGAUAACUUCAGGAAACUGGGGCUAAUACCGGAUAGGAGCUCCUGCUGCAUGGUGGGGGUUGGAAAGUUUCGGCGGUUGGGGAUGGACUCGCGGCUUAUCAGCUUGUUGGUGGGGUAGUGGCUUACCAAGGCUUUGACGGGUAGCCGGCCUGAGAGGGUGACCGGACAGAGGGAGAGGGGGAUAACGUAGAUAGGUGGGGGGGAGGGAGGGGUGGGGAGGAUGGCACAGGGUGCGGAAGACGGAUGAGGCGCGGCCGGGUGGGGGAAGUAGGGAGGCUGGUUGUCAACCGCUGUGGCGGGGGGAGAGGGUGGGGUGAGAGUAGGGAGUAAAGAAGCGCCGGGAAACUACGGGCGAGCAGCGGAGAUGAGAGGGGGAAAAGGGCUGAGC
rnacentral:rRNA from 1 species